GAUGAACGCUGGCGGCGUGCCUAAUACAUGCAAGUCGAGCGAACAGACGAGGAGCUUGCUCCUCUGACGUUAGCGGCGGACGGGUGAGUAACACGUGGAUAACCUACCUAUAAGACUGGGAUAACUUCGGGAAACCGGAGCUAAUACCGGAUAAUAUAUUGAACCGCAUGGUUCAAUAGUGAAAGACGGUUUUGCUGUCACUUAUAGAUGGAUCCGCGCCGCAUUAGCUAGUUGGUAAGGUAACGGCUUACCAAGGCAACGAUGCGUAGCCGACCUGAGAGUGUGGUGGGCCACAAGGGAAGCGAGACCAGGGACGGACUCAUACGGGAGGAAGCAGGAGGGAAUCAUCCAUAAUGGUAGAAAGCUUGACAGAGCAAUGUCGCGUGAGUGAAGAAGUUAUUAGAAACGUAAAAACCUUUUAUUAGUGAAGAACAAAAGUGCAAGUAACUAUGCACUUCUUGACGGUACCAAAACAGAAAGACACUGCUAACUAC
rnacentral:rRNA from 1 species